AUCGAUCCCGCUCUCACAGCCAUUGCGGUGCAUUGGGCUACACAGGGCACCCAGGCAGCGCUGGGGCCGGGGCGAGCGGCCGGGCGGGCGUCUCUGGGGCUGGGGGCCGAGCGAGGGCUGCGUGCCGACUCUGACGCGGAAAAUCCUCAAAAAUGGGCAAAGGUGAUCCCAAGAAGCCGAGAGGUAAAAUGUCUUCAUACGCCUUCUUUGUGCAAACCUGCCGGCAGGAGCACAAGA
rnacentral:misc_RNA from 1 species